AAUCAAGAACCUUUAGGUGACUCUCUAGAGAUGAACUCUUCUCCAGGCUUAGUGGCUGCGGUCCUCUUAGUGCUUGGACAAACACAUGGAGACUCUGUGACCCAGCAGGAAGGCCAAGUGACACUCUCAGCAGGGAACUCCCUGAAUGUGAGCUGUACUUUUUCAGCCUCAGGAUCUCUCACUCUUUUCUGGUAUGUCCAGUAUCCCGGAGAAGGUCUGCAGCUCCUGCUGAGAGCCCUGACAGUCAAUAAGAAGGAGAAAAAAGAAGGUUUUGAAGCCACUUACCGGAAAGACCCCAAAUCCUUCCACUUGGAGAAAACCUCAGUGCAAGAGUCAGACUCGGCUGUGUACUACUGUGCCCUGGGUGACACAGUGACAGAAACUGCAGGGGAAGCUGAGCGCAAACUGAGCAGCAGAAGGGGCCUGACUGCUGAGUGCCUCUGA